CGAGUCCGAGUCUCCACGGAGACGAAGUGGCGGUCAUCCAGCUUCCUAGAAAAGCUCUAACCACGUUAAUCUUUAGUUGCCUGUACCCGAAACCGACACAGGUAGGGGGGUAGAGAAUACCAAGGGGCGCGAGAUAACUCUCUCUAAGGAACUCGGCAAAAUGACCCCGUAACUUCGGGAUAAGGGGUACCACUGAGAAGUGGUCGCAGUGGAGAGGCCCAGGCGACUGUUUACCAAAAACACAGGUCUCCGCCAAGUCGCAAGACGAAGUAUGGGGGCUGACGCCUGCCCAGUGCCGGAAGGUUAAGGAAGUGGGUUAGGGAUUCGUCCCGAAGCUGACGACUGAAGCCCCGGUGAACGGCGGCCGUAACUAUAACGGUCCUAAGGUAGCAAAAUUCCUUGUCGGGUAAGUUCCGACCCGCACGAAAGGCGUAACGAUCUGGGCGCUGUCUCGGAGAGAGGCUCGGCGAAAUAGGAUUGUCUGUGAAGAUACGGACUACCUGCACCUGGACAGAAAGACCCUAUGAAGCUUUACUGUAGCUUGGAAUUGGGUUCGGGCUUGGUUUGCGCAGGAUAGGUGGGAGGCGAAGAAGAUUUGCUUGUGGGUGAAUCUGAGCCAACGGUGAGAUACCACUCUAACCAGGCUAGAAUUCUAACUUCAACCCGUCAACCGGGGGAAGGACAGUUUCAGGUGGGCAGUUUGACUGGGGCGGUCGCCUCCUAAAAGAUAACGGAGGCGCACAAAGGUUCCCUCAGGCUGGUUGGAAAUCAGCCAACGAGUGCAAAGGCAGAAGGGAGCUUGACUGCGAGACCUACAAGUCAAGCAGGGUGGAAACACGGUCUUAGUGAUCCGACGGCACCGAGUGGAAGGGCCGUCGCUCAACGGAUAAAAGUUACUCUAGGAUAACAGGCUGAUCUCCCCCAAGAGUUCACAUCGACGGGAAGGUUUGGCACCUCGAUGUCGGCUCAUCGCAACCUGGGGCGGAAGUACGUCCCAAGGGUUGGGCUGUUCGCCCAUUAAAGCGGUACGUGAGCUGGGUUCAGAACGUCGUGAGACAGUUCGGUCCAUAUCCGGUGUAGGCGCAAGAACAUUGAGAGGAGUCUUCCUUAGUACGAGAGGACCGGGAAGAACGCACCGCUGGUGUACCUGUUAUCGUGCCAACGGUAAACGCAGGGUAGCCAAGUGCGGAGUGGAUAACCGCUGAAAGCAUCUAAGUGGGAAGCCCACCUCAAGAUGAGUGUUCUCAUGGAGUAAUCCAGUAAGGUCACGGGAAGACGACCCGUUGAUAGGCGGUAGGUGGAAGUUCAGCAAUGGAUGAAGCCGUGCCGUACUAACAGACCGAGGGCUUGAUC
rnacentral:rRNA from 1 species